UAAGAAGCGUUUGUGACCACGUCAGCACAACAGCCAAAUAUAAACAAAAUUACAAAAGAUAACAAAAACGAGCAGACGAUAAGUUGAUAAUACAGUGCAGAAAUUAGAAAGAAAAAAGAAAAAGAAGAGGGAGCUUUGUUCACUGAUUCCUUCAAUUCAAUGGCGCCAGCUGCAGUGCCGUUGAAUAUUAAAUGGUUGCCGCUGAAUUCGAAGCUCAAAGCCAAGAGCCAACUCCAAACAAGCAGCAGGAACAUUGAGUUUGAGAGGGUUCAGCUUCCGGAGAAGACCCGCAACUCGACAGUCUUGGUUCUUGGCGGAACAGGUAGGGUCGGUGGAUCCACCGCCAUUGCUCUCUCCAACCUUUGCCCCGAUCUCCGCAUCCUCGUCGCUGGCAGAAACAGAGAGAAAGGUGAAGCUUUGGUUGCAAAACUCGGGGGCAAUUCUGGUUUUUCUCAGGUUGAUCUCAAUGAUCAAGAUUCACUCCAAACUGCUCUGCAAGAUGUGGAUCUUGUAGUUCAUACGGCGGGGCCAUUCCAACAAGCAGAAAAAUGCAGUGUGCUUGAAGCUGCCAUAAACACUAAGACUGCAUAUGUUGAUGUUUGCGAUGACACAAGCUAUGCAGCGCGUGCAAAGUCCUUUAUGAGCAGAGCGUUAGCUGCGAAUGUUCCAGCUAUAACAACAGGAGGAAUAUACCCUGGAGUGAGCAAUGUCAUGGCAGCAGAGCUAGUCCGUGCUGCAGAAACUGAAACUGAAGAAGAUAAGCCAGAAAGGUUAAGGUUCUCAUACUAUACAGCUGGAACUGGUGGUGCUGGUCCAACCAUAUUGGCUACUAGCUUCUUGUUGUUGGGAGAGGAAGUGAUUGCAUAUAGCAAAGGAGAAAAGAUCAAACUGAAGCCAUAUAGUGGAAUGCUCAAUGUAGAUUUUGGAAAAGGGAUUGGCAAAAGAGAUGUUUAUCUAUUGAAUUUACCAGAGGUUAGAAGUGCGUUUGAGAUUCUAGGAGUGCCAACUGUAAGUGCUCGAUUCGGAACAGCACCAUUUUUUUGGAAUUGGGGAAUGGAAGCUAUGACCAAUCUUCUUCCUCCGGAAUUUCUGAGAGACAGGAGUAAAGUCCAAAUGUUGGUUGAGUUAUUUGAUCCUGUUGUUCGAGCAGUUGAUGGGAUUGCUGGGGAACGUGUAUCAAUGAGGGUUGAUUUGGAGCUUUCAAGUGGCCGCAGCAAGGUUGGCCUCUUCAGUCAUAGCAAACUUUCCAUUAUGUACAUUCUUCCAGAUCUGUAGGAAUUGCAACAGCAGCAUUUGCACUUGCGAUUCUUGAAGGAAGCACACAACCUGGUGUUUGGUUUCCUGAAGAAGCUCAAGGACUUGCAAUUGAGGCCAGAGAAGUUCUUCUCCAGCGUGCUAGCCAGGGAACAUUUAAUUUUGUAAUGAACAGGUCACCGUGGACGAUUGAAACAAAUCCAAAGGAGCUCGGGUUAGGAAUAUAUGUUUGAAUCUUCUGUCCAUAUCAAAGCAAACGUGAAAUCCAGCAAAGUUCUCAUGUUACACUGUAGGGUACAAUGUAAUGAAUGUAUAGUCCUUUGAGAGAUGAUUCAUUCUUUCGUAGGAAUAGAACUAUUUAAUGGAAUUUCCUGUAUAAACUAUUUAUUUGUAACCAGUGUAUAAUGCUGAGUUGAUUUGUUUAACUCAUUGCUAGUAUACCCUUUAGCUAAUCAUAUUACGUGUACA